CGUGUAGGCGGCUGUCGCAAGUCGGGUGUGAAAGCCCUUGGCUCAACUGAGGAAGUGCACUCGAAACUGCGCGGCUUGAGUCCCGGAGAGGAUGGUGGAAUUCUCGAUGUAGAGGUGAAAUUCGUAGAUAUCGAGAGGAACACCGGUGGCGAAGGCGGCCAUCUGGACGGUGACUGACGCUGAGACGCGAAAGCAUGGGGAGCAAACAGGAUUAGAUACCCUGGUAGUCCAUGCUGUAAACGAUGGGUGCUAGGUGUCGCGGGCAUUGACCCCUGCGGUGCCGAAGCAAACGCAUUAAGCACCCCGCCUGGGGAUACGGCCGCAAGGCUAA
rnacentral:rRNA from 1 species